GAAUCUUCCACAAUGGACGAAAGUCUGAUGGAGCAAUGCCGCGUGAGUGAAGAAGGUUUUCGGAUCGUAAAACUCUGUUGUGAGGGAAGAACAAGUACGAGAGUAACUGCUCGUUCCUUGACGGUACCUCAUUAGAAAGCCACGGCUAACUACGUGCCAGCAGCCGCGGUAAUACGUAGGUGGCAAGCGUUGUCCGGAAUUAUUGGGCGUACUCCGCCCCCCCCCCUUCCCUUAUGUCUCAUCUCCCUUCCCCCGGCUCCCCCGUUGCAUGUCCUUUGAACCUGGGUGACUUGCGUACAGAAUAGCAACGCGGCCUUCCACGUGUCGCUGUGAACUGCAUAGCGCUUUGGAGGCCCACCAGUGGCGAAGGCGUCUUUCUUGUCUGUCACUGACGCUGAGGCGCGAAAGCGUGGGGAGCAAACAG
rnacentral:rRNA from 1 species